rnacentral:rRNA from 1 species
CCUACGGGAGGCAGCAGUGGGGAAUUUUGGACAAUGGGCGCAAGCCUGAUCCAGCCAUGCCGCGUGCAGGAUGAAGGCCUUCGGGUUGUAAACUGCUUUUGUACGGAACGAAAAGUCUCUUUCUAAUAAAGAGGGAUCAUGACGGUACCGUAAGAAUAAGCACCGGCUAACUACGUGCCAGCAGCCGCGGUAAUACGUAGGGUGCGAGCGUUAAUCGGAAUUACUGGGCGUAAAGCGUGCGCAGGCGGUUAUAUAAGACAGUUGUGAAAUCCCCGGGCUCAACCUGGGAACUGCAUCUGUGACUGUAUAGCUAGAGUACGGUAGAGGGGGAUGGAAUUCCGCGUGUAGCAGUGAAAUGCGUAGAUAUGCGGAGGAACACCGAUGGCGAAGGCAAUCCCCUGGACCUGUACUGACGCUCAUGCACGAAAGCGUGGGGAGCAAACAGGAUUAGAUACCCUGGUAGUCCACGCCCUAAACGAUGUCAACUGGUUGUUGGGAAUUCACUUUCUCAGUAACGAAGCUAACGCGUGAAGUUGACCGCCUGGGGAGUACGGCCGCAAGGUUGAAACUUAAAUGAAUUGACCGGNGUGAGACGAGCGACGGACGACGACGAGGGAGGAGG